AGCAAAGUCUGAUAAAUGAAGACAACUGGAGAACUACUCAACAUAUUGAGAGAAAGAAGCUUACCUGAACGACAGUUCACUGACCUAUUGGCAGUCCAGUCCAGAAGGGCAGAAAGGCUAUUUUCUGUGUGUGAUCACAAUAUUUGAGUCAGUGGGGAAGUCCCAUUAAAUGUGUCCAGUCCCUUCUGUGUUGACAAGAUCUCCAGAAGAGACAGGAUCUCAACCUCCCUGGUUGGAAAAGCUGCAAAGGACAUUUGUGUGAGACAU